rnacentral:rRNA from 1 species
GCGGUGGAUGAUGUGGUUUAAUUCGAUGCAACGCGAAAACUUAACCCACCUUUGACAUGUACGGAAGUUGCCAGAGAUGGCUUCGUGCUCGAAAGAGAGCCGUAACACAGGUGCUGCAUGGCUGUCGUCAGCUCGUGUCGUGAGAUGUUGGGUUAAGUCCCGCAACGAGCGCAACCCUUGUCAUUAGUUGCUACGAAAGGGCACUCUAAUGAGACUGCCGGUGACAAACCGGAGGAAGGUGGGGAUGACGUCAAGUCCUCAUGGCCCUUAUAGGUGGGGCUACACACGUCAUACAAUGGCUGGUACAAAGGGUUGCCAACCCGCGAGGGGGAGCCAAUCCCAUAAAGCCAGUCGUAGUCCGGAUCGCAGUCUGCAACUCGACUGCGUGAAGUCGGAAUCGCUAGUAAUCGUGGAUCAGCAUGUCCACGGUCGAAUACGUUCCGGGUCUU